rnacentral:tRNA from 1 species
GCCUUUGUAGCUCAGCGGUAGAGCGGGGAUCUCUAAAAUCCUUUGUCGUGGGUUCGAAUCCCUCCAUCGGCAC